rnacentral:lncRNA from 1 species
UGCUAGUCGGGUUCAUUGACCACUGAGCCACGACGGGAACUCCCAAAGAGUCCGAGUUAGAAGCCACAUGAAGUUUUUUUCCCUUGGCUUGUGUGAUCCCGGGUUGAAAAGGAACUCCAAAGGUGUUUGGAAGUAGAGCAGCUCUGCGGAAUCAACGUCGUUUCUCCCUGGAUUUAUAUUCUCUCCUCCUCGAUUCAGUGCCUUCAUGCCAUUUAUUCUGUGUGCGUUGGUUUUCUGAGGACACGUGAAUGGGGAAAAGGAGGAAGACUGGCACGAUGGGCCUCAGGGUCUCUGUCGGUCAGAGUUGGAGCAGCAGUUCUGCAACUACCCGUUCUUUUAGGCUUUUUAACUGUCUUGCGUCAGGAACUGUUCAUCUGAGUGUUAGUGUUUAAAACCAAGUCAGGUUUAUUAAUUUAUUUGUGUUUUGGGUCGUGCUUAUGGCAUGUGGAAUUUCCCUGGCCAGGGAUUGAGCCACGCCAGAGCAGCAGUCAGAGCCAGAACAGUGACAAAGCUGGGUCCUUAACCCACUGUACCACCAGGGAACUCCUCAGUCUGGCUUACAAUAGGAAAAAGUUCCGAGUUUUAGUUUAGUGAAAAAAAUCAGAGUUAAUAGAUCUUGAAUUUUGAAACAAGUCUGUUUAAUUUUAAAACGUCGUGAAAGUUGUUUACAUGUUUGUUUCGGUUAAUGUUUGGUGGUUAAGAGUCAUAGGCCUUGAUGGCGAGGAGUGAUCUUUGCUGACCCUCAAUUCCUUGUUCCAGUACCCGGGUUUCAUAUUUUGCUGUUUUUGAUGGACAUGGAGGAAUUCGCGCCUCAAAAUUUGCUGCACAGAAUUUGCAUCAGAACUUGAUCAGGAAAUUUCCUAAAGGUGAGACUGAGAACCAGAGCACUUCUCGUUCAUCUCCGUGUUGGCUGUUGGUGCCGGUCGGUGAGGUGUCCUUAGCUUUUGUGAAGACUCGUUGCUGGAGUUCUCUGGGACUCAGCGGGUGAAGGACCUGGCGGCGUCACUGCUGUGGCUCUGGUUACGGCUGUGGAGCGGGUGCAGUCCCUGGUCUGGGAACUUCUGAGUGCUGCAGGCAUGGGCCUCUGCCCGUCCCCCGCCAAAACCCAGAACACAGCAGGAAAGAUGGAAGAGCGUCCCCGUUGAGUGUCGGAGGCAGGGCUUCGAGCGAGCAGGAGCUCUGGACCUGCGCACGGCUCUGCGUGCUUGGCGCCUCUCGCGAGGUGUCUGUGGGUGCGAGUGAGUGUCUUGUUUUCACACUUGGGAGGCUUCAGAGCUUGUCUUGGCCCUUCUGUGAUAGGAGACGUCAUCAGUGUAGAGAAAACCGUGAAAAGAUGCCUUCUGGACACUUUCAAGCACACGGACGAAGAGUUCCUCAAGCAGGCUUCCAGCCAGAAGCCUGCCUGGAAAGAUGGGUCCACCGCCACGUGCGUU